AAGUCGUAACAAGGUCUCCGUUGGUGAACCAGCGGAGGGAUCAUUAUAGAGUUUUAUAAACUCCCAACCCAUGUGAACUUACCAUUGUUGCCUCGGCAGAAGCUACCUGGUUACCCUACCUUGGAACGGCCUACCCUGUAGCGCCUUACCCUGGAACGGCCUACCCUGUAACGACUGCCGGUGGACUACCAAACUCUUGUUAUUUUAUUGUAAUCUGAGCGUCUUAUUUUAAUAAGUCAAAACUUUCAACAACGGAUCUCUUGGUUCUG
rnacentral:misc_RNA from 1 species